AAACCAGCACCUCAAGUGGUCAGGAUGAUUAUUGGGCCUAAAGCAUCCGUAGCCGGCUCUGUAAGUUUUCGGUUAAAUCUGUACGCUUAACGUACAGGCUGCCGGGAAUACUGCAGAGCUAGGGAGUGGGAGAGGUAGACGGUACUCGGGAGGAAGUGGUAAAAUGCUUUGAUCUCUGGAUGACCACCUGUGGCGAAGGCGGUCUACCAGAACACGUCCGACGGUGAGGGAUGAAAGCUGGGGGAGCAAACCGGAUUAGAAACCCUAGUAGUCC
rnacentral:rRNA from 1 species